GUGGGGAAUCUUCCGCAAUGGACGAAAGUCUGACGGAGCGACGCCGCGUGAGUGAAGAAGGCCUUCGGGUCGUAAAGCUCUGUCAUCAGGGACGAACGGCCGGUGGAGUGGAAAGCCACCGGAUUGACGGUACCUGAGAAGGAAGCCACGGCUAACUACGUGCCAGCAGCCGCGGUAAUACGUAGGUGGCAAGCGUUGUCCGGAAUUAUUGGGCGUAAAGCGCGCGCAGGUGGGAUCUUAAGUCCAUUUUGAAAGUUCGGAGCUCAACUCCGUGAUGGGAUGGAAACUGGGAUUCUUGAGUACCGGAGAGGAAAGCGGAAUUCCCCGUGUAGCGGUGAAAUGCGUAGAUAUGGGGAGGAACACCAGUGGCGAAGGCGGCUUUCUGGACGGUGUCUGACACUGAGGCGCGAAAGCUAGGGGAGCGAACGGGAUUAGAAACCCGUGUAGUCC
rnacentral:rRNA from 1 species